AGCCAUGCAUGUCUAAGUACAAGCCUCAGUAAGGUGAAACCGCGAAUGGCUCAUUAAAUCACACCUAAUCUACUGGAAAGUUACAAGUUACUUGGAUAACUGAGGUAAUUCUUGAGCUAAUACAUGCGAAAAAUCUCGACUCACGGAGAGAUGCUUUUAUUAGAUCAAAACCAAACGGCUUCGGCCGUCUCAUUGGUGACUCUGAAUAACUUUGGGCUGAUCGUAUGGCCUUGUGCCGACGACGUUUCCUUCGAAGGUGUGCCCUAUCAACUGUCGACUGUGAUAUAGACGCUCACAGUGGUUUUGACGGGUAACGGGGAAUCAGGGUUCGAUUCCGGAGAGGGAGCCUUAAAAACGGCUACCACAUCCAAGGAAGGCAGCAGGCACGCAAAUUACCCAAUGAACGAAGUUCGAGGUAGUGACGAAAAAUAACGAUACAGGACUCAUCCGAGGCCCUGUAAUUGGAAUGAGUACACUUUAAAACCGUUCCCGAGGAUCUAUUGGAGGGCAAGUCUGGUGCCAGCAGCCGCGGUAAUUCCAGCUCCAAUAGCGUAUAUUAAAGUUGUUGUGGUUAAAAAGCUCGUAGUUGGACUUCUGGGUCGGCCUGAUGGUCCGCCGCAAGGCGAGCACUGUUGGGUUGGCCCUUCCUCUCGAAGGCUGCGGGUGCUCUUCACUGGGUGCUCGUAGAACUCGGGAUCUUUACUUUGAAAAAAUUAGAGUGUUCAAAGCAGGCUUACGCUUGAAUACAUUAGCAUGGAAUAAUGGAAUAGGACUUUGGUUCUAUUUUGUUGGUUUCUAGA
rnacentral:rRNA from 1 species